UAAUACGGAGGGGGCUAGCGUUGUUCGGAAUGACUGGGCGUAAAGCGCGCGUAGGCGGAUUGGCAAGUUGGGGGUGAAAUCCCGGGGCUCAACCUCGGAAUGGCCUUCAAGACUGCCGGUCUUGAGUUCGAGAGAGGUGAGUGGAAUUCCGAGUGUAGAGGUGAAAUUCGUAGAUAUUCGGAGGAACACCAGUGGCGAAGGCGGCUCACUGGCUCGACACUGACGCUGAGGUGCGAAAGCGUGGGGAGCAAACAGG
rnacentral:rRNA from 1 species